AACGUAGGACACAAGCGUUAUCCGGAGUUACUGGGCGUAAAGGGCGUGUAGGCGGAUCGGUAAGUCUACUCUGAAAGCUCCUGGCUAAACUGGGAGAGGCGAGUGGAGACUGUCGGUCUAGAGUGAGGAAGAGGAAAGUGGAAUUCCGCGUGUAGUGGUGAAAUGCGUAGAUAUUCGCAAGAACACCAGUGGCGAAGGCGGCUCACUGGCCCGGUACUGACGCUGAGGUGCGAAAGCGUGGGGAGCAAACAGG
rnacentral:rRNA from 1 species